AACGAACGCUGGCGGCAUGCCUAACACAUGCAAGUCGAACGAGAUCUUCGGGUCUAGUGGCGCACGGGUGCGUAACGCGUGGGAAUCUGCCCUUUGGUUCGGAAUAACAGUUGGAAACGACUGCUAAUACCGGAUGAUGACGAAAGUCCAAAGAUUUAUCGCCAGAGGAUGGGCCCGCGUAGGAUUAGCUAGUUGGUGUGGUAAAGGCGCACCAAGGCGACGAUCCUUAGCUGGUCUGAGAGGAUGAUCAGCCACAUUGGGACUGAGGCACGGCCCAGACUCCUACGGGAGGCAGCAGUGGGGAAUAUUGGACAAUGGGCGAAAGCCUGAUCCAGCAAUGCCGCGUGAGUGAUGAAGGCCUUAGGGUUGUAAAGCUCUUUUACCCGGGAUGAUAAUGACAGUACCGGGAGAAUAAGCUCCGGCUAACUCCGUGCCAGCCGCCGCCGUAA
rnacentral:rRNA from 1 species